rnacentral:rRNA from 1 species
AGCGGGUACUCACGACUAAUUCGAGGUCAGUCAGUCAGUCAGCCAGCCAGCCAVCCAGCCAGCCAGCCAGUUAAUAUGUGCAUUUGUGCAUUUGCAGUGGCAGCAAUUGUUGUCACAAUGCACAWUGRGUGGAUAACGCGCCCAUUCAGAUAGCACACGUACAGUGGGCCACGGCUUGUGAAUUGGGGCAACACACACACACACACACACACACACACACACCCACCACUUCUUCCAUUGCUUCCAUCUCCACCACCCAAUUUUGCCACACCAUGCAAUGCUACGCCACACGGUGGAGGAAACAAGAAGCGCUGGCGGUGGCGGUGGCGGUGGCGGUAACAACAACCACUGUAGCACAAUCAUCACCGCUGCACACACCUUCAAGAGAAGCCGCAUGCGCACGUGCACGCACACACCCACUGACAGAGAAUGVUACAUCACAGCACAGCACAGCACGGCAUAGCACAACACGGCAGUCCCUCAAGCCACUGCUUUCAUUACGCACAGUGAUAGUUUGUAAGCGGACGCUCGGAUAGAC